AGACAGUAUUCAGAAAGUAUUCAGACGGUAUUCAGACGGUAUUCAGACGGUAUUCAGAAAGUAUUCAGACAGUAUUCAGAAAGUAUUCAGAAAGUAUUCAGACGGUAUUCAGACGGUAUUCAGACAGUAUUCAGACGGUAUUCAGAAAGUAUUCAGACAGUAUUCAGAAAGUAUUCAGAAAGUAUUCAGACGGUAUUCAGACGGUAUUCAGACAGUAUUCAGACCCCUUCCCUUUUUCCACAUUGGGUUACAUUACAGCCUUACUCUAAAAUGGAUUAAAUAUUUUUUUUAAAUUACACAAUCUACAUACAAUACUCCAUAAUGACAAAGCGAAAACAGGUUUUUAGACAUUUUUGCAAAUGUAUUAACAAUAAAAAACAGAAAUAGUUUAUUUACAUAAGUAUUCAGACCCUUUGCUAUGAUACUUGAAAUUGAGCUCAGGUGCAUCCUGUUUCCAUUGAUCAUCCUUGAGAUGUUUCUACAACUUGAUUGGAAUCCACCUGUGGUAAAUUCAAUUGAUUGGACAUGAUUUGGAAGGGCGCACACCUGUCUAUAGAAGGUCCCGCCAAGAUUGAACUCUUUGGCCCGAAUGCCAAGCUGGAGGAAACCUGGCACCAUCCCUACGGUGAAGCAUGGUGGUGGUGGCAGCAUCAUGCUGUGGGGAUGUUUUACUAGUCAGGAUCGAGAGAAAGAUGAAUGGAGCAAAGUACAGAGAUCCUUGAUGAAAACCUGCUCCAGAGCAGACUGGGGUGAAGGUUCACCUUCCAACAGGACAAUGACCCUAAGCACACAGACAAGAAACGCAGGAGUGGCUUUGGGACAAGUCACAAUUUCAAGUAUCAGAGCAAAGGGUCUGAAUCCUUACGUAGAAUAAGGCUGUAACGUAAAUGUGGAAAAAGUCAAAGGGUCUGAAUACUUUCAGAAUACACUGUAGUUACUGGACGAGAGAAAUACAUGAAGAGAGAG
ensembl:lncRNA